rnacentral:rRNA from 1 species
AUGCAUGAGCCUAGAAGUGGACAUCUUGACGCAGUACAUAGAAUCUUGAGAUACUUGAAAGGUUCUCCUGGGAAAGGACUGUUGUUCAAGAGUUAUGGACACCUUGUUGUAGAUGGUUAUUGUAAUGUUGAUUGGGCUAGCUGUCUGGAUGACAGGAGAUCAACUUCAGGCUAUUGUGUCUUUGUAGAAGGAAAUCUAGUAUCUUGGAGAAGCAAGAAACAACCUAUUGUUUCCAAAUCAACUGCAGAGGUUGAAUACAGAGCCAUGUCCAAGGGACCGAGUGAGAUGUUGUGGACCAGAAAUCUAUUAGCAGAAUUGAAGAUAUUGAAGACAAGUUGUAUGAAUGUGUGGUGUGAUAACAAAUCAGCAAUCAACAUAGCACAUAAUCCAGUGCAGCAUGAUAGAACCAAGCAUGUGGAAAUAGACAUAUUCUUCAUCAAAGAAAAGCUUGACGCUAGGAUCAUCAAGAUUGAGCAUGUGAGUUCUGGGCAACAGAUUGCAGACUGUUUGACUAAAGGAUUGGGAACUAAAGAAUGCAAUCUAGCACGUGACAAGAUAGGGAUGAUAGAUAUCUAUCACCCCUCUUGA